AGUAGGUGUGAUGAUUAUAACCCCCAUCAUUUCUGCAUUUGAAUGAUGAAUAUUUUCAUGCACUACCAUCUGACCUUAG
rnacentral:snoRNA from 1 species